rnacentral:rRNA from 1 species
GACGAACGCUGGCGGCGUGCCUAAUACAUGCAAGUAGAACGCUGAAGGAGGAGCUUGCUCUUCUGGAUGAGUUGCGAACGGGUGAGUAACGCGUAGGUAGCCUGCCUGGUAGCGGGGGAUAACUAUUGGAAACGAUAGCUAAUACCGCAUAAUAGUAGAUGUUGCAUGAUAUUUACUUAAAAGGUGCAAUUGCACCACUACCAGAUGGACCUGCGUUGUAUUAGCUAGUUGGUGGGGUAACGGCUCACCAAGGCGACGAUACAUAGCCGACCUGAGAGGGGGAUCGGCCCCACUGGGAGUGAGACACGGCCCAGACUCCUACGGGAGGCAGCAGUAGGGAAUCUUCGGCAAUGGACGAAAGUCUGAGCGAGCAACGCCGCGGGAGUGAAGAAGGUUGUCGGAUCGUAAAGGUCUGUUGUAAGAGAAGAAAGAGUGUGAGAGUGGAAAGUUCACACUGUGACGGUAUCUUACCAGAAAGGGACGGCUAACUACGUG